rnacentral:rRNA from 1 species
CUAUACAUGACUCUGCGCAUAUCAAUAAGCGGAGGAAAAGAAACUAACAAGGAUUCCCCUAGUAACGGCGAGUGAAGCGGGAAGAGCUCAAAUUUGAAAUCCUUAAAGGGUUUCCCUUUACGAAUUGUAGUUUAAAGAAGUGUUUUCUGCUGAAGUUUUGGUAAAAGUUCUUUGGAAUAGGACAUCAUAGAGGGUGAGAAUCCCGUAUUUGACCAUUUACUUUCAGCUUUGUGAUACACUUUCAAAGAGUCGGAUUGUUUGGGAAUGCAGUCCAAAAUGGGUGGUAAAUUUCAUCUAAAGCUAAAUAUUGGCGAGAGACCGAUAGCGAACAAGUACCGUGAGGGAAAGAUGAAAAGAACUUUGAAAAGAGAGUUAAACAGUACGUGAAAUUGUCAAAAGGGAAGCGUUUGACACCAGUGUUGUUUUCUCGAAAAUCAAUUAAAAAUGGCUCGAUUUUGUAUUGCUUGAGACCUUGAAAAGCUCACUGUACAUUUUUCGUGUCUUUUUUAAUGCACUUUUCGUUUAACAAGUCAACAUCAGUUUCUUUUGUUGUAAAAGGGUCAUUGGAAGGUGGCUUUCUUUUCGGAGAAAGUGCUUAUAGCCUUUGGCCUCUGCAAUCGGAGAGACUGAGGUCUGCAGCGUAGACUCUUCGGGGUUAGAUACAUUUGUGCUAAGUUAUAGCAUUUUUAUAGACAACUUGUUGACUAUGAUUAGUCUUGUAGCUUACUCGCUUAUGCUAUUUUACCUACGCUUAGGAUGUUGACAGCAGUAUAGACUGU